GAGUCGAAACAAAACAGCCGGCAAAAUUUCACACAGCCCCAGUUCACACCACUCAGAAUCCCCCCACAACUCCCUGCAAAUUUCCUCCUAUCCCCACAGACCAGGCCAGUUCAUGUAGCUUGUGUCGUAAUGUACUUUGGGGGAAAUCCAGACAAAGAUACAAAAUCAGGGGCAUAAAGUGUACCCUUGUUGCCAAGAAAGCUAACGGCAUCCUGGACUGCAUUGGUAGGACCGUUGCCAGCAGGUCACAGGAACUGAUUCCUCUGCAUUCUGCACUGGUGAAAGUUGAUCCAAGCGCAGAGAAGACUCCUACACUGGAUGGGCAGCUUGCCUUUUAACAUGGUUCGUGACAAGAUUAGGGCUGAGGGGAAGCCAUCUCCUGCCCAACUUAGACUUCCUUCCUCAGUUCAGGUCAGGCCAGUGGGGGCAGCCGUCAUCCCGGGUCUUUCCCCCACAGAGAGCACAGGCAAUAGGGAUGAACCUGCUGUCCAGGCUGAAGUCGCCCUGGCCACCACCAGGGGAGCUACCAUCAGUGCCAUG